GAGGAUAUAACUCAGUGGCACAGUGUUUGCCUAGGAAACAGAAGGUCCUGAGUUUGAUUCCCAGUAACCCCC
rnacentral:tRNA from 1 species